UCCGUAGGGUGCGAGCGUUAAUCGGAAUUACUGGGCGUAAAGCGUGCGCAGGCGGCUUCGCAAGUCAGACGUGAAAUCCCCGGGCUUAACCUGGGAAUGGCGUUUGAAACUACGGAGCUGGAGUGUGGCAGAGGGAGGUAGAAUUCCACGUGUAGCGGUGAAAUGCGUAGAUAUGUGGAGGAAUACCGAUGGCGAAGGCAGCCUCCUGGGCCAACACUGACGCUCAUGCACGAAAGCGUGGGGAGCAAACAGG
rnacentral:rRNA from 1 species